AUUGAACGCUGGCGGCAGGCCUAACACAUGCAAGUCGAGCGAGCGGCGGACGGGUGAGUAAUGUAUGGGGCCUGCCCGAUAGAGGGGGAUAACUACUGGAAACGGUGGCUAAUACCGCAUACUAUCGGAUAACCCAUAUGGGAUUAGCUAGUAGGUGAGGUAAAGGCUCACCAAGCCGACGAUCCCUAGCUGGUCUGAGAGGAUGACCGGCCACAUUGGGACUGAGACACGGCCCAGACUCCUACGGAGGCAGCAGUGGGGAAGAUUGCGCAAUGGGGGCAACCCUGACGCAGCCAUGCCGCGUGAAUGAAGAAGGCCUUCGGGUUGUAAAGUUCUUUCGGUAGCGAGGCGUUAACUACAGAAGAAGCACCGGCUAACUCCGUGCCAGCCGCCGCGGUAAUUC
rnacentral:rRNA from 1 species